AUUGAACGCUGGCGGAAUGCUUUACACAUGCAAGUCGAACGGCAGCACGGGGGCAACCCUGGUGGCGAGUGGCGAACGGGUGAGUAAUACAUCGGAACGUGCCCAGUCGUGGGGGAUAACGUAGCGAAAGCUACGCUAAUACCGCAUACGAUCUCUGGAUGAAAGCGGGGGACCGCAAGGCCUCGCGCGAUUGGAGCGGCCGAUGGCAGAUUAGGUAGUUGGUGGGGUAAAGGCUCACCAAGCCGACGAUCUGUAGCUGGUCUGAGAGGACGACCAGCCACAUUGGGACUGAGACACGGCCCAGACUCCUACGGGAGGCAGCAGUGGGGAAUUUUGGACAAUGGGCGCAAGCCUGAUCCAGCCAUGCCGCGUGAGUGAAGAAGGCCUUCGGGUUGGUAAAGUACGUCUUUCGGUCCCGGGAAGGAAAUACGCAU
rnacentral:rRNA from 1 species